rnacentral:rRNA from 1 species
AAUUCAAUAUGAGGCGGGCUGGACCUCUCGGGGUUACAGCCUUGCUGAAUUAUUCACCCUUGUCUUUUGCGUACUUCUUGUUUCCUUGGUGGGUUCGCCCACCACUAGGACAAACAUAAACCUUUUGUAAUUGCAAUCAGCGUCAGUAACAAAUUAAUAAUUACAACUUUCAACAACGGAUCUCUUGGUUCUGGCAUCGAUGAAGAACGCAGCGAAAUGCGAUAAGUAGUGUGAAUUGCAGAAUUCAGUGAAUCAUCGAAUCUUUGAACGCACAUUGCGCCCUUUGGUAUUCCAAAGGGCAUGCCUGUUCGAGCGUCAUUUGUACCCUCAAGCUUUGCUUGGUGUUGGGCGUCUUGUCUCUAGCUUUGCUGGAGACUCGCCUUAAAGUAAUUGGCAGCCGGCCUACUGGUUUCGGAGCGCAGCACAAGUCGCACUCUCUAUCAGCAAAGGUCUAGCAUCCAUUAAGCCUUUUUUUCAACUUUUGACCUCGGAUCAGGUAGGGAUACCCGCUGAACUUAAGCAUAUCUAACCGGGGAGAGAAAAAA